UACGGGGGGGGCAAGCGUUGUUCGGAAUUACUGGGCGUAAAGGGCUCGUAGGCGGCCAACUAAGUCAGACGUGAAAUCCCUCGGCUUAACCGGGGAACUGCAUCUGAUACUGGAUGGCUUGAGUUCGGGAGAGGGAUGCGGAAUUCCAGGUGUAGCGGUGAAAUGCGCAGAGAUCGGGAGGAACACCAGUGGCGAAGGCGGCUUACUGGUCCGGUUCUGACGCUGAGGCGCGAAAGCGUGGGGAGCAAACAGG
rnacentral:rRNA from 1 species